rnacentral:rRNA from 1 species
AUACGUAGGGUGCGAGCGUUGUCCGGAAUGACUGGGCGUAAAGGGCGUGUAGGCGGCUGUCUAAGUCUGGAGUGAAAGUCCUGCUUUCAAGGUGGGAAUUGCUUUGGAGACUGGAUGGCUUGAGUGCGGAAGAGGUAAGUGGAAUUCCCAGUGUAGCGGUGAAAUGCGUAGAGAUUGGGAGGAACACCAGUGGCGAAGGCGACUUACUGGGCCGUAACUGACGCUGAGGCGCGAAAGCGUGGGGAGCGAACAGGAUUAGAUACCCUGGUAGUCCACGCGGUAAACGAUGAAUGCCAGGUGUUGCGGGUAUCGACCCCUGCAGUGCCGGAGUAAACACAAUAAGCAUUCCGCCUGGGGAGUACGGCCGCAAGGUUGAAACUUAAAGGAAUUGACGGGG